rnacentral:other from 1 species
GUUGUUAAUCAUAAAUUUAACCCUUAAUUCACAUAUUGUAAAAGGUUAUCAUUUGUGCGUAUGAUCCUUUUCCAAUGUGUGAAUUUUUAUUUGUUCGUACACUACGUAAGAAUAAAAGGACAUGUGUUAAAUAAACUAUUGGAGGUAAUACAAAUGCAAACAGGUACAGUUAAAUGGUUCAACGCAGACAAAGGUUUCGGUUUUAUCGAGGUUGAAGGUGGAAGCGACGUAUUCGUUCACUUCUCCGCAAUCACUGGUGAAGGCUUCAAGUCUUUGGACGAAGGCCAACGCGUUGAGUUCAACGUAACUCAGGGCGCUCGUGGACCACAAGCAGAAAACGUUGUAAAACUGUAAUACGCUAACAAGCGAAGAAGCUGUCCUUAACAUCUGUUGAGGGCAGCUUU